rnacentral:rRNA from 1 species
UACGGAGGAUGCGAGCGUUAUCCGGAUUCAUUGGGUUUAAAGGGUGCGCAGGCGGCCGGGCAAGUCAGCGGUGAAAGUCAGGGGCCCAACCCCGGAAGUGCCGCUGAUACUGUUCGGCUGGAAUGCGGUCGAGGCGUGCGGAAUGUGGCGUGUAGCGGUGAAAUGCGUAGAUAUGCCACAGAACGCCGAUAGCGAAGGCAGCUCGCCAGGCCUGCAUUGACGCUCGGGCACGAAAGCGUGGGGAUCGAAC